GGAAGGUCUGUCUCCUGAGUGAGAAGACCAGCACCUGGGACAGCACAGCGCAGCACAGUCUUGGGGGAUCAGAAGGGAACUCCAGUCCACUACCUGCCAGGCUGUAGGCACUGAGGGAAGGGCCUAGCCAGUGCAAAGGGGCCAAAGGGGAAGCGGCCCAGGGAGAGAGGCGCACAAGGGGAGAGAAGGAGGGCAGGAAGGCUGCCACCAAAGGGUCCAUGGAUCCGGGUCCCAGUGUAGACGGUGGGCCUGGGUCCCUCCCUUCCCCCUUGCAUGAACACCCAGUCAGUGGAUGUGGUGAUAGUGGACUGCACCAGACCCCUGACACUAGAGGUUAGACUCUGGGGUGUGGUUGAUCACAGUGGCUGGGGUGCAGAAGGACUGCUGAUAACACCAGACCCCCGGAAGGGGGUGAGACCGGAGCAGUGGGCACUGCCGGAGGGCAGUGUCCUGAAGGGGACGCUGCCGAGUGGGAAGCAACGGGGGUCCAGACAGCAGGAAAGGAGCAGAGGACGGAUGGGACACCACCAGCAGAGGGUGCUCCACCAAGGACUGAGCUAAUUCCUGGAGUCACUAGCGGGAGGCGCUGUGGUGGCAAACUUUGAGCUUGUUUGAUCGUUUUCCCAGAGCUACAGAUCACUUAAACAGAGACCCUGGAGAUGGCGACCAGCAAUCCUGCUGUCAGCUUGGGCAUACAAGAGGCCUGCCAGACGCUUCACUGGAAUAAGAACAUUUGGGCCAUUUGCUAAUGCUGUUGGAUCUGGAUAAAUCUUAAAUGUUAAAUAAUAGAUUUUCAAUGGGAAACAUGGUCGAGCUGGGAGGAUAUUAUCUACACUGGAGAUGGAGAGCCUCAGCCAAAGCCCAGUGAUGUCAUUACAAGUCUUUCCACUGACUUCAAUGAAUUAUGACCCGUACAGUGAUGUAAAACAAGGUUGCUAUUCAGAAACACACUUGUACAAUUGUGUAAUUUCUCUCUUGUCUAAACACGGACGUUCUGACAAAGGUAUCACUGAUGCUCUAGUAGGCAUAGGCCAAGAUUUUCGAAUGUGCCUAGUGAUUUUGGAUGCCUCAGUUUUGGGGCUUUUGAGAGAAUGAUUUUGUUGAGCACCUGCCCUGUGAAAAAUCACCCCCUUGAGGUGUCUCCAGUUGAGCAUCCAUAAUCCCAGUCAAUUUUGAAAAAUCUGGGCCUUAAUCUGGAGCUCAACUCAUGGAGCGUGGAGUGAUACAAAUGGAUCAAGACAAACACCUGCACAAUGUACACUCAUCUGCAUAAGGUCUGGAAUUGCAGUCUAAAAACUCCCUAGAUCAUGGAACAAGGCUUGGAAAGAGAUACUGCAAGCAUCUAGAU